rnacentral:ncRNA from 1 species
CUUAUCACGAGUGGCAGAGGGACGGGCCCAAUGAAGCCACGGCAACCGGUCGGUCGCAAGCCGAUGUCUGGUGCCAAAUCCCGCAGCGCGGCACACCCGGUGGACGGAAGCGCUGACAGAUAAG